rnacentral:ncRNA from 1 species
UCCUGUCUCGCGAAAAGUAGCCCUUGCGGCUGCCUGCCCACCCUACGAGGGAAUGGGAUAGCGAGGCGGGUUAUU